GGGGUUGGAGAAAUCCACAUAAAACUCAUCUGUGGGAGCACGCUGGAAAUCAAAUUCUGCAGCUGAAUUUGGAAGGAAUCUCUUUUUUCUGUUAAAAAAAACUCCAAAAACUACUCUCAAAGACCUGAAAACUCAAACCAGUUGGUGUGGGUUUCUUCGGAUUUUCAGUCUUACAUACUCCAGGUGCCAACAGUUGUGGAAUUGUUUUGGAUAAUUGUUCUCAGCCUUCUGCAGUGUUCCCAAAAAGUAUCAUCAGCUUUCAGUCAGGUGGGACCUCUCUGAAUUAUCAAGACCAAAAAAUGUCAGUUCUGACAGCCAUGAUUUUUAAAUUUUUUUAGUAAAACUGUUGUUUUCUACAUUCCAUUGUAAUAAUAAUUCUGACACCCACAGUGCUUAAAGUGAGUGUUAAAAGAG
rnacentral:lncRNA from 1 species